rnacentral:rRNA from 1 species
GACGAACGCUGGCGGCGUGCCUAAUACAUGCAAGUAGAACGCUGAAGGAGGAGCUUGCUUCUCCGGAUGAGUUGCGAACGGGUGAGUAACGCGUAGGUAACCUGCCUGGUAGCGGGGGAUAACUAUUGGAAACGAUAGCUAAUACCGCAUAACAGUAGAUGUUGCAUGACAUUUGCUUAAAAGGUGCAAUUGCAUCACUACCAGAUGGACCUGCGUUGUAUUAGCUAGUUGGUGAGGUAACGGCUCACCAAGGCGACGAUACAUAGCCGACCUGGGAGGGGGAGCGGCCACACUGGGACUGAGACACGGCCCAGACUCCUACGGGAGGCAGCAGUAGGGAAUCUUCGGCAAUGGACGGAAGUCUGACCGAGCAACGCCGCGUGAGUGAAGAAGGUUUUCGGAUCGUAAAGCUCUGUUGUAAGAGAAGAACGAGUGUGAGAGUGGAAAGUUCACACUGUGACGGUAGCUUACCAGAAAGGGACGGCUAACUACGUG